rnacentral:rRNA from 1 species
UACGUAGGGGGCAAGCGUUGUCCGGAUUUAUUGGGCGUAAAGAGCGUGUAGGCGGCUAGGUAGGUCCGUUGUGAAAACUCGAGACUCAACCUCGAGACGUCGAUGGAAACCAUCUAGCUAGAGUCCGGAAGAGGAGAGUGGAAUUCCUGGUGUAGCGGUGAAAUGCGCAGAUAUCAGGAAGAACACCAAUGGCGAAAGCAGCUCUCUGGGACGGUACUGACGCUGAGACGCGAAAGCGUGGGGAGCGAACAGG